UUUAUUUAGGUAGUAAAGUGCUGACCGUUUUGAGAAUUGAAUUUUUGUUUAAAUAUGAGGUUUUGCUAGUAAAUCCAUCAAGGAAAUGCUAGAAUUUAGUAGUCUUGGACACUCAAGGCGACAUGAGCAACACCAAUGUUGUCUGAUUACUAUUUUUCCGAUUUAACCAAAAAAAAAACCUCCAUGCAGGUUUUGCUUUGAAGAUUUAAGCUGGACCUGGCAGCAUCAAAGAAUUGGGUCUUGUAUCUUGCGGAUGAAGUCAAAGCAGCCAACUGUUCCAACGGAAAUUUGAAGUAAUUGAAAACAGGAUGAUAUCUAUUAGUUAUUUAUACCACACUUAUGGAAACCGGGUAAUUUUGAAGAAAAAAUGAGUUUCUGGAAAAAUAAAACUUUCUGAUCAGGACUUUGGCAAAGCAUACCGCUUGUUUAUCUGGCUGAGCUUUGGCUACUUGAAAAUUGAUAGAGUGCUUGAAAGAUGAGGUGAAAGAGUAUUGGUGUGUCAGCAUGGAGAAGUUCUUUGUAGUUCCUACCAAGUUCGCCAUGAAGAAAUUGCAAGGUCAUUUGAACAGAUGGGUCAUUUUUAAGUAAGUUUCUGUUAGUUUUUAUCAGGCAAAUGAAAAUUUUUGUACCACCAGAAAGAGCUUCGAAAUUUGUAUGUUAUUCUGACAUUUUGGAAAUAGAAAAUCAAGAGAAAUUAAGAUAAAAUAAAAUUUUGUUUUUGAUAUUUUAAAAUAUCACAAAACUGCAAAAAUGAAUACAUUUUUUGACAAACUUUUGUAAACUAAUGAAUAGACGAACUAACCAACACCAAAUUUUUUGUAAGAAAAAUUUCAAUAACAUUUAAGCAUAAUACAAAUUUUUAAUUACUUUAUAUAAGUUUUACUUUUGGCAUAUUAUGGUUAUUUUUUACAGUUGCGUUCAUACCAUUCAGGUUGUCUUAAAAGUUUUAUUUUUUACUUUAUCACACGUUUGGAUUCGGCCAUUAAAAUAAGUGUAAGGUUUUUCAAAUAAUUUGGGUUUUGUCAAAACAGAAUCUAAUUUAAAUUUUUUAAUUACAUAAGGAUUUAAUAUAUGUUAGCGCAAUUUAUAGUAGUGUAACAAUACGCCCUAUUUUAUAUUUCAAUUAUAAAAAACUUGCUAUCUCAUAAAAGGGGGCCAAAAAUAUUUUUAUCGCUUGAUUAAUUUAAAUUAAACGCCAUAUUGUUUAACUUACUUUUCGUGUUUUCCCAGAAUAUGCGGAAUUUUGAGUUUCAUUAUUUAAAUAAAUGUUUUAUAGUUGACUAUGGUAUUUAGAAAUGAAAGAUAAUUUAUUGUACUUUUGUAUUUUUCAACAAGUAUUUAAUUAAUUUUCAAUUAACUUACAGCUACCCUAUUAUCCAUUAAUCACAUUUAAAUCCACAAAAAUACAUAAAAUAUGCAAUACAAUACACAAGUAGAUCAUGGUGUAAUGGUUUAAGAAUCAUUAUAAUUUAUCUUACUUUUACUUUUGUUAAUUAAGAAAUUUUUAUUUCUAAUUUGAAAGUCUCUAAAUCUAUUUCUUUAAUAUUAUUUGGAAGAUUAUUGAAGAAUUUUAGAGUAAAAUAGUUAAUGCUAGACCUACAGUUCUCAAAUCUGAAAAUUUCAGGGUUUAUAUCUUCAUUAAAAUGGGUAAUAUAAUAGUGAAAGUCAUUCUAUUGUAUAAUUACCUAAGUGUUCUUUUAUAUUUUUUAGUAAUUAAGCCAUCCAAUCUACAUCAGCAAAAAGAUACAACACUAAAAGAAGUAUCUUAAAACCAUUUAUUCGCACAUCAUUUCUAAUAAAAACCAUUAAAUGACAUUCCAUUUAUUGACACAUGAAAAUUAAAAUAUAUAUAUUAACAGAAUAAAGUAACUAACUCAAACAAACUGUCUUUCUAUAUUUUCCAAAAUUUCUGGAGUAGGCAGUACUUCAACAAUGCAGUUUUUUGAAUGCAUGAUACAUUAGUUCAACUUCAAAUGGUAGCAUUCUUUUUUCCAUAAUAUAAUGUGCUCAAGACAUAAUCACCAACAGAAAUGUUUUUGUUAUCUCAAAGAAUAUUUCACUAUUUGAUUUCAGAGAUAAUAUCUACAUCUUCCGAAUUGUCAUCACUGUCUAUCCAGCUUUCUUCAUAUUCUGAAUUCUCUGAGGAAAGUUUUGUUUCUGGAACUUGUUACCCGAAUUUUCAAUUAUUCUUCUACAUUGUCAUUCAGUAUCACAUUUCAAGUUACAGACUCUACAAUUUGAUCAUCAGUCAGUGUUUCUCUUGGUACGAUAUCACUGCGUAUUUGUUGUUUUUUCGACCACUGGUUGAGAGGAAGAUCUUUGUCUGAGUCAUGCUUCAAGCAAUUGGCAAUGGUUUCACUAGUAACCUUUUGCCAAACCAUAUGAAUGUAAUUUACGGCGUCCAAGAGGUCUAUAAUCUAAACUAUUACACAUUGGUCCAUUGACUGAAGUUUCGAAUUUGUUUUAGGUGGUUUAAACACAAAAUGCAUUUGUUCUAAUUUCACAUAGAGGUAAUUCUUAAGAAGCAGUAAAUUGUUCUUUGCUUUCAUUUCUUCAUCCUAUUCAUGUAACUCAUCUGUAAGCAAGCUUAACUGUUUGCCCACACCAACAAUUUCCUUUUUUCUGAUCCAGGCAUGUUUGCCGCCACUAGAACUGUGAUCUUUUCUUUAGCUCCAGCACAAGGUUCAGUGUUCAGAACAAGUUUCAGUGUUAUAUUGGUAUCAUUUUAUAAAAUAGGCCUGUUUCAUCCGCAUUAAAAAUGUUUGUCGUAAAUUUCUGAUACACGUUCUAUCCAACUCCUAGAAUAGUUGAACUAUGCUUUUCCAAUUUUGGUUCACAAUUCACUUGCUUUUUCUUGUAAAACACUAGCCCGUAUAAGAAUGUUUCCUUCCUUUUUUGGGAGUAAACAACUUAAGAAGUCCUUUAUCCACGUCUCGGCGUUUAGAUUUUCCUGAUUUUUCACAUUUAAGGCUAAUAAAACCUUUUAUAAGCUUUAAAUCGCCACUUUCCCACUUUGAUUUUUUUUAAUAAUGUCAUAUUUCUACUUAAGUGUAAAAGCUUUAAGAUAUUGUUUCUCCAUUUUAUUGCGUGAUUUACGAUUUACCGAAUGCCAAUAAAAACUCCGAUUUCACGAGCAUUACUUCUUACACUACGCACCGACACAGUAAAAGUACAUCGAAUAAAAGUUCAUUUUAACUGGAAAUUCAUACUUUUGUUUAGGUCUGAAAGAAAAUACAUAAGCUAUUUACCUAACAGUGACAUACUAAUCAUUGGUUAAAUAUAUCCUUUCUACAAAAACUAAAUAUUGGCAACACCGCCACAAUGCAAGCAAAAGUUAUGAUAGAAUCUGGCAAAUAAUUAAAUAAGGAAUCUUUUAAGGUUUGUCAAUAAUUGGAAGAAGUAUUAUUAUUUUAAGUAAUUAAUCACUGACACACAAGUUCAUUCGUUUCUGCAUCUAUUAUAACUAAAGCACAGUUGGAAUUAAAGUUAUAAAUAAACUACUAAUUAAAUAAUUUUAAAUGUUUCUUUUUAGACAACCAUUUUUUCUGUCAUUGACGUGUUAAGGUGGAGUCGGCCACAAACCAUUCACCCAAGCCUGAUAAGCCCCUUCCCAUUGCUGUAUCCAAAGUUUUUUUUUUUGUAUCCGUUUCUGUGGUAUUACACCCACAGUUGUUUUUGAUUUUUGUUUGCCAAUAUCAAUAUCAUUGAUAUAUAUUUAUACCAGUAAAAGUGAGAGCACUGAACUCUACACAUAUUCUAUUUCCAUGUGAAUGAAAAGAUUUUUAUAUAUGAUUUAUAAUGAAAAGAUAAAUAUAUAUAUAUAUAUAUAUAUAUAUAUAUAUAUAUAUAUAUAUAUAUAUAUAUAUAUAUAUAUAUAUAUAUAUAUAUAUAUAUAUAUAUAUAUAUAUAUAUAUAUGCGCGAGCAUUGAAGAUGCCAAGUGAGAUUUUGGCGAAACGUCUGCAGGAUUCCAGUCGGAUGCAGGAUUUGCAGGAUUCCAGUCAGAUGCAGGAUUCCAGUUUCCAUUAGUUAAUUGUUGUUAGAGCCUGGAUAAUGAAAAUAAUAUUUAAAAAAACCUAUCCAUAAAAAUAUUUACUAACAUAGCUACUAGAUGACGUAGACCAUAAAUAAGUACCAAAAAUUUUCAUAAAUUUUACAUAUCACUAGGGAGUCAGUCAUCUAUCAAAAACUUUUCAGACGAUUUUUAAAUUGAAACAAAUGUUCACAGUUCCUUGAAAUAUUACUUCUGUUAAGUAGUUGUUCUUUUUUAUUUUUAUUCUUAGAUUUUAUCCAACUGUCAACCCCUAUGAACAUAGAUGAGUCAUGUUAUGCCCAAAAAAUUCUUUAACGUGAAGACUUACAUUCUCCCUCAUUGAUAGAUUUAUUAUAUUUUAUAGUCAUUAAAAUUUGUAAGUAAUUAGUUUUAAUUUAUAUGAUUUUUGACAUAUUUUAUUUCCAUGUGAAUGAAAAGAUUUUUGGCUCUCGAUUCCUUUAGCGUUGGUUGUUGAUGAAUCGAAGUUGCUGACGUUUCGUCCAUCAUAUUGUUGGCUUCUUCAGCGCUUAAUUGAAAAAUUUCCAAGAAAAUUUAUAAAUAGUAAUACAUUAAUUUGUGGAAUUUUCGGUGAAUAAUUAACAACCAAGAUUCUUGAUUAAGUUAUUUUGCAUGGCGUCAGAAGAAUCUGCUGUGGUUGUUGGCAGAUAAAUUCGCAGGUUAAAUUAGAUUUCAAGUUUCAGGAAAUUUAAAAAAAUCUUUCUUCUUUUUCUUCUUUUUGUAUGUGGAGUAUGUCGGGGUCACCGUCUCACUUCCUCAGUGGAAUGCUCUCCGCCUGACGAAAUAUUGAUCCAGCAUUCGUCACUGCACACUAAUGUCGGACGUUUCUGAGCCAUGAAUGUUGUUUUCUUCAUGAAGGAGAAGGGUCGGGGUGGAGUAGCGAGCACCUCUCAGUAUGUGGCCAUGUAGGAUCCUUUUCAGUGUAUUUUUGGAAAUCCGUUGGAAGUAGUGUACCGCAUCGCUGUUGCGAAUCGAUAGUGAUUUGUGCGCUGGAUUACUGGUACAACACGCUUCCGUUUCAACGGUUAAAGAAAGAAUUACAGAUCUACAUGGCAGAGCACUUGGGACUCCUGGUACCAUAGACUAUCGGUACGCCGUUCGAGAGCCAGCAGGACGAAUUGUUGUAACCCAGCGUCCACUACACCCAAUACCUCACUUGGGAAGUGAAUCUCUCGGACGAACGUGUUGGUUGAUACAGGAACGAAACUAUGAACCUAUUUCGAAGACAAUCAUGCAAUUUCCACCACCCGUUCAGAUACUUUUCAUGACUACCAAUAGUCUUUCGUCCGUUCGAAGAGCGCAGAGAAGUUGUUUAGAGUCAGCCAAAAGCGGAGCAUUCUUUCACCUGCUCCGAAUCUAUAUCAGCAGAUUUGAUUCCAGACAUAUCCAUAGGUGAGUAUAAAUAUUUUUAAAUAAUUCAAUAAAAAUCAAUAUCCAACAAAUUGUUUUGUAUUUACUACUCCUUUGAUUACCACCAUAUUUUCAAUAAAAAUCGAUA